rnacentral:rRNA from 1 species
AGCGUACACGGUGGAUGCCCUGGCAGUCAGAGGCGAUGAAGGACGUGCUAAUCUGCGAUAAGCGUCGGUAAGGUGAUAUGAACCGUUAUAACCGGCGAUUUCCGAAUGGGGAAACCCAGUGUGAUUCGUCACACUAUCAUUAACUGAAUCCAUAGGUUAAUGAGGCGAACCGGGGGAACUGAAACAUCUAAGUACCCCGAGGAAAAGAAAUCAACCGAGAUUCCCCCAGUAGCGGCGAGCGAACGGGGAGCAGCCCAGAGCCUGAAUCAGUGUGUGUGUUAGUGGAAGCGUCUGGAAAGGCGCGCGAUACAGGGUGACAGCCCCGUACACAAAAAUGCACAUGCUGUGAGCUCGAUGAGUAGGGCGGGACACGUGGUAUCCUGUCUGAAUAUGGGGGGACCAUCCUCCAAGGCUAAAUACUCCUGACUGACCGAUAGUGAACCAGUACCGUGAGGGAAAGGCGAAAAGAACCCCGGCGAGGGGAGUGAAAAAGAACCUGAAACCGUGUACGUACAAGCAGUGGGAGCACGCUUAGGCGUGUGACUGCGUACCUUUUGUAUAAUGGGUCAGCGACUUAUAUUCUGUAGCAAGGUUAACCGAAUAGGGGAGCCGAAGGGAAACCGAGUCUUAACUGGGCGUUAAGUUGCAGGGUAUAGACCCGAAACCCGGUGAUCUAGCCAUGGGCAGGUUGAAGGUUGGGUAACACUAACUGGAGGACCGAACCGACUAAUGUUGAAAAAUUAGCGGAUGACUUGUGGCUGGGGGUGAAAGGCCAAUCAAACCGGGAGAUAGCUGGUUCUCCCCGAAAGCUAUUUAGGUAGCGCCUCGUGAAUUCAUCUCCGGGGGUAGAGCACUGUUUCGGCAAGGGGGUCAUCCCGACUUACCAACCCGAUGCAAACUGCGAAUACCGGAGAAUGUUAUCACGGGAGACACACGGCGGGUGCUAACGUCCGUCGUGAAGAGGGAAACAACCCAGACCGCCAGCUAAGGUCCCAAAGUCAUGGUUAAGUGGGAAACGAUGUGGGAAGGCCCAGACAGCCAGGAUGUUGGCUUAGAAGCAGCCAUCAUUUAAAGAAAGCGUAAUAGCUCACUGGUCGAGUCGGCCUGCGCGGAAGAUGUAACGGGGCUAAACCAUGCACCGAAGCUGCGGCAGCGACGCUUAUGCGUUGUUGGGUAGGGGAGCGUUCUGUAAGCCUGUGAAGGUGUGCUGUGAGGCAUGCUGGAGGUAUCAGAAGUGCGAAUGCUGACAUAAGUAACGAUAAAGCGGGUGAAAAGCCCGCUCGCCGGAAGACCAAGGGUUCCUGUCCAACGUUAAUCGGGGCAGGGUGAGUCGACCCCUAAGGCGAGGCCGAAAGGCGUAGUCGAUGGGAAACAGGUUAAUAUUCCUGUACUUGGUGUUACUGCGAAGGGGGGACGGAGAAGGCUAUGUUGGCCGGGCGACGGUUGUCCCGGUUUAAGCGUGUAGGCUGGUUUUCCAGGCAAAUCCGGAAAAUCAAGGCUGAGGCGUGAUGACGAGGCACUACGGUGCUGAAGCAACAAAUGCCCUGCUUCCAGGAAAAGCCUCUAAGCAUCAGGUAACAUCAAAUCGUACCCCAAACCGACACAGGUGGUCAGGUAGAGAAUACCAAGGCGCUUGAGAGAACUCGGGUGAAGGAACUAGGCAAAAUGGUGCCGUAACUUCGGGAGAAGGCACGCUGAUAUGUAGGUGAAGUCCCUCGCGGAUGGAGCUGAAAUCAGUCGAAGAUACCAGCUGGCUGCAACUGUUUAUUAAAAACACAGCACUGUGCAAACACGAAAGUGGACGUAUACGGUGUGACGCCUGCCCGGUGCCGGAAGGUUAAUUGAUGGGGUUAGCGCAAGCGAAGCUCUUGAUCGAAGCCCCGGUAAACGGCGGCCGUAACUAUAACGGUCCUAAGGUAGCGAAAUUCCUUGUCGGGUAAGUUCCGACCUGCACGAAUGGCGUAAUGAUGGCCAGGCUGUCUCCACCCGAGACUCAGUGAAAUUGAACUCGCUGUGAAGAUGCAGUGUACCCGCGGCAAGACGGAAAGACCCCGUGAACCUUUACUAUAGCUUGACACUGAACAUUGAGCCUUGAUGUGUAGGAUAGGUGGGAGGCUUUGAAGUGUGGACGCCAGUCUGCAUGGAGCCGACCUUGAAAUACCACCCUUUAAUGUUUGAUGUUCUAACGUUGACCCGUGAUCCGGGUUGCGGACAGUGUCUGGUGGGUAGUUUGACUGGGGCGGUCUCCUCCUAAAGAGUAACGGAGGAGCACGAAGGUUGGCUAAUCCUGGUCGGACAUCAGGAGGUUAGUGCAAUGGCAUAAGCCAGCUUGACUGCGAGCGUGACGGCGCGAGCAGGUGCGAAAGCAGGUCAUAGUGAUCCGGUGGUUCUGAAUGGAAGGGCCAUCGCUCAACGGAUAAAAGGUACUCCGGGGAUAACAGGCUGAUACCGCCCAAGAGUUCAUAUCGACGGCGGUGUUUGGCACCUCGAUGUCGGCUCAUCACAUCCUGGGGCUGAAGUAGGUCCCAAGGGUAUGGCUGUUCGCCAUUUAAAGUGGUACGCGAGCUGGGUUUAGAACGUCGUGAGACAGUUCGGUCCCUAUCUGCCGUGGGCGCUGGAGAACUGAGGGGGGCUGCUCCUAGUACGAGAGGACCGGAGUGGACGCAUCACUGGUGUUCGGGUUGUCAUGCCAAUGGCACUGCCCGGUAGCUAAAUGCGGAAGAGAUAAGUGCUGAAAGCAUCUAAGCACGAAACUUGCCCCGAGAUGAGUUCU